rnacentral:rRNA from 1 species
GAUCAUGGCUCAGGAUGAACGCUAGCUACAGGCUUAACACAUGCAAGUCGAGGGGCAUCAGGAAGAAAGCUUGCUUUCUUUGCUGGCGACCGGCGCACGGGUGAGUAACACGUAUCCAACCUGCCCUUUACUCGGGGAUAGCCUUUCGAAAGAAAGAUUAAUACCCGAUAGCAUAAUGAUUCCGCAUGGUUUCAUUAUUAAGGGAUUUCGGUAAAGGAUGGGGAUGCGUUCCAUUAGGUUGUUGGUGAGG